rnacentral:lncRNA from 1 species
CUGUAAUAUGAUCAUAUUCAUUUUUCUUUUCUUUUCAUAACCGACUAGCUGAUUUGAAACAGAAACUGAAAGUUUCAGUGGCUGUUAUUUCAGCCAGGCAUCAGCUCUCCAAGAGACCUGAAAGUAAAUAGGAGUGACAGACUUUAUAACUCCCUUACUGCUAUCUUGGUGGAAGAAACAUUUUGCUUUUCCCAGACCACGAGAAUUGAUGAAAUAUUAAUUCAGUGCCUGACUUCCCUACUUGACUGAAGUGUAUAUCAGUUCACUGCAGUUAGAGAGGUAUGGCAGCUUCAAACUAUAAUUCUUUCCUGGUACCCUCAGGAGCAGAGUGUGUUUUUCAAUGUCCAUUAGAAAGGUGAGUGCUUAAAUCUAUACCUCAUUUCUCUUUUAUCCCCUAAAUCUUUGAACACAACUGUGUGAUUAUGCCUUUCAC